rnacentral:snRNA from 1 species
GGAUGUGAGGGAGAUCUGGUUGCUACAUCUGUCACCCCAUUGAUCACCAGGGUUGAUUAGGCUGAUCUGGCUGACUAGGCAGGUGUCCCCUUUCUCCCUCACUGCUCCAUGUGAGUCCCUCCCGAAGCUGUGUGCUCUGUUGAAAAGGACAGCCUUCACCAAAUAGAGACGACGGGUCUUUGGUCAGAAGAAGCAUGUAGCUUUUCCUCUAGUCUUCUAUCUCUGUUGCUUUCUUUCUGUCUGGAGAGAAAGAGAGAGAGAAGAAGAGAAAGAGAGGUGCUGAGCAUUGAGGCCCAUGUGAUAACAAAAUCAUAAACUUGCCUUU